UACGUAGGUGGCAAGCGUUGUCCGGAAUUAUUGGGCGUAAAGCGCGCGCAGGCGGUUCCUUAAGUCUGAUGUGAAAGCCCCCGGCUCAACCGGGGAGGGUCAUUGGAAACUGGGGAACUUGAGUGCAGAAGAGAAGAGCGGAAUUCCACGUGUAGCGGUGAAAUGCGUAGAGAUGUGGAGGAACACCAGUGGCGAAGGCGGCUCUUUGGUCUGUAACUGACGCUGAGGCGCGAAAGCGUGGGGAUCAAACAGG
rnacentral:rRNA from 1 species